rnacentral:rRNA from 1 species
AUUGAACGCUGGCGGCAGGCCUAACACAUGCAAGUCGAGCGAGCGGCGGACGGGUGAGUAAUGUAUGGGGACUGCCCGUUAGCUGGGGAUAACUACUGGAAACGGUUGCUAAUACCGCAUACUGUCGGAUAACCCCUAUGCGAUUAGCUAGUAGGUCAGGUAAUGGCUUACUUAGGCGACGAUCCCUAGCUGGUCGGAGGGGAUGAUCAGCCAGACUGGGACUGAGACCCGGCCCAAACUCCGAGGGAGGAAGCAGUGAGGAAGAUUGGUCAAUGGGCGUUAGCCUGAACCAGCCAAGUAGCGGGAAGGAUGAAGGCUAUUGGGGAGUAAACUUCUUGUAUAUAAGAAUAGGUAUUAUAUGAAUAAGGAUCGGCUAACUCCGUGCCAGCAGCCGCGGUAAUUC